rnacentral:lncRNA from 14 species
UGAAAUGUUUGCCUAACAGCUGUGGGUCAGGCUUAUUAAAAUGCGCUUUGGUUAAGGUGGUGAACAUGUGGCAUGGAUACUGGGGUUAUUUUCAAGAAUUGAAUGUAGAUUCCUUCAUGUCAGCUAAUCAGAUAUCAACAGGAUGAGCAAAGAUGUAAAAGGCAAUCAAGAAAUGAAAUCAAGGAUUUUGGUCAUAAAAGCAGCAGAAGACAGUGCAUUGCAAUAUAUGAACUUCAUGAAUGUGAUCUUUGCAGCACAGAAACAGGUGAAGCUGGCUUCUUUCUAAUAUGUAUUAUAUUUUAGUAAUACCCACAGAUAAAAAAGAUUGUUCAUUUCUCUUAUGUAUUGCAUCUCUUUUCUUGCAGAGUGUUUUGAUUGUAUGCUUGUGUGUUGGCUCUGAUUCAGGUCUCCUACAACA